AGCACCAGAUUCACCUCUGAGGGGAAAGAAAAUAACACAAAAGAAGAUACCUUUGGCUCUGAUGUUUACAUACACAAAUAUGGUUUUAUACUCUCCUGUCUCAGCAAUCAAAGAGCAUUAAAGUGGGUGGAGAUGUAAUAAACUAACUCUUUCAACUCUACCAAGUUAGUGCUGUGAAGAGGGCAACAGUCUAAAUGUAAGCUGGAUCUCUUUUUCUUUGGGUUUAAACUAAAAUGGAUUUAAAAAUAAAAAGAAAAAUACAUUCAAAAAUCCCAUGGAUAUUUGUCAACUAUUUAGCUGGAUCCAUUGCAGUUCUGCUUCUUUUCCUAAUUAGGAAAUACAGGAGUUAAUUUUCCCUACCAAGGAACCAGUGAUAAAUAGACAUAAAAAAUAUGGGUAAGUGCUGGGCAGAACUUUCAAGACAGAAUGACAUUGAUGUAAACCUUGGGAAACCAGAAACAAUUCCUGCCUGAGGUACGACACGAUGAGAAGUGUGUCUUCUGGUUUUAAGAGUUUUAACCAGAAAUAAUUGAGCUGAAUAUGUUCCUUUUCACAAGACCUGGGUUAAUUUGCACAGUUUAGAGGUUGGAUUCAUCUCUGCCUGGGCUUCAGUGCUAAAACAUUUCCAUGUUUUAUUGAUAAAAAUUAAGUGUCCUGGGAACAAUUCCAAGCCAAGCACACCAAUUUGAAGACAUAUGCAUACAAGGUUUUCAAAUAAAUCUACCUUACAACUUUGUUUCUUUGGAAAAAACAAAUUCAAACAAACCCUGGGCUUUGAACUAUUCCAUUUUAUUAAAGGUUAUUUGUAGUUCAUCACUACAUGAAUUGCAUUUCCUUUCUCCCAGGGCAACAGUGCCCAUCAUUUGGCUUUCCCCUGAAUCCCUGUGAGUAUUACCAUAUAUGGCAUCUUUUUACUUGUAAUUAUCCUACCAUACUGUAAUGCUUAAGUUACUUAACAUUUUGUUCUGUGCUUUCAUCCUUAACUCUUUGCCCCUGCACAGGCUGAGGGGUUUCCUAUUUUCUGCAGACAGACUUUGAGUCUUUAACUUCCUUUUGAAGUGGACAAUAAAAAAGUUCUUCAACGUGACAUGGAAAUGCUUCAACAUGAAAUGAAAACCAGGCAGGAUCUCAACAGCUACAAGUAGGAAAAAACCUUUAAGGUCCCUAAAUAAUGAAGAAUAAUGUCCAUAGCUGAUGAAUACAUCUAAUUUUUCAACACAUCAGAUAAUUUUUAAAUGUCCAUGACAAUAGACGGGUCUGAUUGAUAAACAAAUAUCCAUUAAACAAUGUUAGUAGCUGUUAUACUAUGAAGGAUGCAUGACAGCUAUAUGACAACACCUAGAUUUUAUCUCAGCAGUAAAAUACCAUGUGUUUGAAAACUAACUAAUGAGGAGGAAUGGCUAGAUCAGGCUCAAUGCCUCUAAACAUCAAGAAGCUUACAAGGGGAAGGACCCAGGAGGAGGAGAGCAUGUGAAUCUCUUAGUUCACUUCACAGGUGGAUGAAAUUCUUCCUGGAAUGACUGAGCUGCAACAGAACUGGUCAUGCUGGUUUUUUUCUUUGCAUCUACCUUGAAAUACUGUCAUUUCUGGGGUGGCAGAAACAACUUUCAUGUGAGGUGGUAUGAGGAAUCCCACCUGUUUUAAGAUCUGCAUGAGCUUAAUGACCAAAUUUUUGAAGAUGGGUCUUUUUCUUGCAAGCAUCUUUCAGGGAUUUUGGCAUGGACCAUACACAACGGUGUUCCUCCUAGAAGCAUCUGCUCUUCUCUUCUGAGUGCCCAUUUUCCUUCUAAGUUAUGUUCCAAAGUGGCUAUUCACCAUAUAAAUUCUCUUACCGCUGUCCUAAUCAUGAUCUUUUGGGAGUAGGCGGGUCCUUUGUUUAAUUGAAGCAACUCUCCCAUCAUUCAUGUUGCCUGCCACACAUAGAGGCAGCACAUUUACUGCCAGUGCUGUUCUUUGCACCAGCUCAGGUGGGCAACACAAAUAAACAGAUCAAAAGCAGGUCCCAUUGCACAGUUCCCACCAGCCCAACAGCAGUACUUUUAUCUACUUCCCAUACAUAUUUUCCUCCUAAGAAACUCCUUAGCUUUCCCAGAGUAAAAGGGUCCACUAAGCUUACAGGUUUGCUCUGUUAAAAACACCAAUCUCCCAUUGUGUGACAUAAUUUAGAUUUUUAAAAAUUUUCCUUAUCUCCUGCAAGGCAUUGUUUUAGGAACUCAAAAAAGGAUUUAAAGCACACAAGCUCACAUAUAUAGUACUCAGCUAUAAUAGAAUUUUUGUACCAUGUGAGCUACUAAAUCCUCCAUGACUGCAUUACCUUCACCUUAUACAAAAAUUAUCCCAGUUAGAAUUGGUUUCUAAAUUAGGGCAAGGUGACACUAGCAAGUUGCCCCCGCUGUUGUAGCAUGAGCUGGUGGUGUAGCUGGGACACUUGUAUGUUGGGGUAUAAUUGGGAAAAAUCAGUUUUAAAAGUGUGGGGUUUUUGUUGAAAAUUUGAAAGUUUUCUAUAUUAUAAUUAUGAUAGAAAACUUAGCUUAAUUCCACUUUUGGCAACAUCUAAAAUGUAACAGCAGAAUUUAUUUUCAGCGUUUGUUUCAGUGAGCAAUGAACCACAAAAAUUGCCCAUUGACACAUCUCUUGCUCUGGCUCUGCUGGCACUGCAGGAAGCCUCGGUGCACAGAGCAGUCAAUGAGGUGCUCUAAAUCACAUUAGGGCUUGGCAGGCUUCAUCCUGCAGUAUCAGAUGUGCAAAGAUGAUGAAAAUCUUUGUCCUAGACCAGCUGUACCCAUCUCAGAAGCCAGCCCACUGAUCCUACUAGUUGACUUUAUAAAAAAUUCCCAGAAGAGACCAAGCUGGUUCAGCACCAAGCUCCACCCCAGGUCUAAAGCUGCACAAGAUAUCUGUAUGGGAGGAGAGCCAGGCAGCAAUCCUUGCCAGCUCCAGCCUUUGAGAUUUAGUGAGUUGGGAAAGAAAAGAGUUUAGCUCUCUCAUGGGGGAGUCUUUUGACUAAUGGGACUUUGCAGUUUGGAGGAUGUUCUGGAUGACUCUGCUGCUUGACUCGUGUCAGGGGAGAAAGGGGGCUGAAGUCCCGUGGCUGGGUGAGGCUCUGGAGAGUUUGCCCAAAAAGAGAGAGGAGAGGAAGGGGAAAAGGGCAGGAUGGUCACUGCCUCACCUAAUGUUUUGUCUGUUACUGUAUCAAAUUAAGUGGAAAUAGCACCUGGCUACAAUAUGUUUUUAUAGGAGCUAUUCAAACUAAAUGCAUAUAUAAAAAAAGUAAAAGGUAAUGAAAAAGUAUUUGAUUAUAUGUACAACACAAGUGUUCAACAAGCAUUUGUUUUCACAGGCUUCACGUUAACCCAAACAUUCAGAAAUUUUGAUCAGAUUUUUUUCUCAUUCAAGGUGGACUGAGAGACAACUUUUAUCAAGCGGACAAGUAAUUGCUUUGAGAUGUCCUCCAAAGAAUAAGAUAAAACAAGGUACUUCACAUAUUUUACAAGAGCAUGUCAACAAGUGUGUAAGUUCUUCAGGGUUUUUACUGUGAACAGGAUCAUCAAACAUAUUUUGGAUCAAGAUUUACAAAAAUAUGGGCCAAAAGCUCCAUUUCUACUAUGUGAGGCAUGUAAGAGGUUUCUGCGCAGCGGAGUGCAGUAUGCUGCAGGGAGGUUUAGGAUUCCAUCCUAGCUCCAUAACGGGCUCCUGCAGCGUUCCUCCCUGCUUAUGCUUCUGGACUCGGAGUGUAUUUUACCUUCAGAACUUUAACACAGGAUUUUCUACCAAAAGACUGAUCUCAGGCUAAGAUCUCUAGGCUGUGAUGGAUAAUAGACACCCAUUGAGGUUUCAGAAUGUGCUCCACAAUACUAAACUGUUUUGUAGAGCUUCAUUGAAGCAAGGCUUCCUGAAAAGUCUGUGGUAACGGGAGCUUUACGAUUUACCCGCUAUGUGAAGAUGCAUUACUAGCAUGUUUGCUGUGAUCAGUUCAGAAGUAGGACAGGUUUUUUCACUGUGGCAAUGGUUGGACAUUGGUACAGGUUGCCCAGACAGGUGUGGUAUCUCCACCUUUGGAGCUAUUUGGAAGUGGACUUGAACAAGGCUCUGAGCAACCUGCCCCGACAUUGAAGCUGGCCCUUCUGUGAGCGUGUCACAGGCUGCCUUGUAGAGACUGUAGAAAAAUCUUCUGACUUAGGAAAGUACAUUCCCAGCCAGAUCAAAUACAUUUUUGAAAGUGUGCAGAGUUUACAAAUCUGAGACUCGAGGCAGAAAACCAAGGCAGAAGCAAGUGUUCCCGUGUAGGUUGGCAUUAUUUAUCGAACGCAGAGAUAGCGUUAGCCCAGUGGAGCCUCUGGUCAGAGGUUAAGGCAUGAACUCCUUCCCCCUUUUACUCAGUGUGUGUGGCUACCUAUCUGACUGCUUGCCCCCGUCGCUGACCCUCUGUGUAAUAAAUACUGUGAGAUAAACAAGCUUUCUGUACUGUGUAAACAUAAUGGAGAUAAAUUCAACCUAUUAAGCUUGCAAGUUGUAACUGGUGCCUGGACCAGAGCCAGUCUAGGAAAAUCAGGAGAGGAUUCCUCUAUGGCUUGGACUGAUAUUAAACAACUGUUUUAUUCCCAGUUCCUCAAUAGCUAUAACAUUAAUUGCUUUAUUGAUUACUCACACGGCAAAUGGUGCCACUUAACUGCUUUAUUUGGUAAAUCGGUGCAAAAUGACUCAUUACAUUUCUAUUGGAGAUAUUUCUCAGCUAUCAGCACAGCAGGACUCUUCCACAUAAACAUUUGGGAGGAGAGCAGCUGUGAGCCAUGCUUAUUUCUCACUGCAGGAUAUGAGCUAGGCUUUCUUUUAAGUUAAAAAAGUGAGAACACGGUAGAAUUCUUGCUAAAAAUACACUGUUGUGUAAAUAGAAACCAUGGGCGUAUAUUGAUAUUGCAUCACAAACCCAUAAAUACCAUAAAGAAAAUAAAAGUGACUCCUUGAUACAGAGUUGCCAGUGGAAUUUCUGAGCUCAGGGAACAUUAGAAAAAGUUGGUCUCCUCCAAGCCAAGUAUUUUCUCACUACUCCUUGCUGCCCAUUGCUGCCCUUCUUCUGCUCCCCAGUAAGUGAAAACCCCCUCCUGCAGGUAUCUGAUAAACUGGCCCACCACAGGGGCUGGCAUGAGGGUGUGUGCAUGGGCAGCUUUCUUGGGAUGUAAGAGCACAAGAAUGAUUGGGGAGGUCAGAAGGUGCACCAAGUUCCCUCUGGGACAGAGAACAGGCUGUGUUACUGAAUUUCUUCGGACUUUCUUUGAUUGCUCCAGCUGAUCAAGUACCCUGAUGCAGGUACAGGGAACAAAUCCUGCUGAAAUGGGAAAAAGAGGGGAAAGGAGGGAACAGUGGGUCUUUGGUCCUGUAAAGACUCCAAUGGAAAGCAGGGUCGGGCUGCUGGGUGGUUGCUGGCAAUGUAAGGAUGCCUUAGGGUGAAGCAGCUCUUUGUGACUGACUGCGACCUGCUUGAGGGCUAUUGGGGGUUCUUGGAGGGAAAAUCAAAAUUAUUUGCUUUCAGCUUUCUCAUGUAGUCUGAAAGGCUUCCAGGUUUGGACCUAUGUGGUUUUCCUGUUCUCUGUCAGUGAACAGACAUGGCAUUCUUGCAAGCUCCUCUCUUGGUCACUGGACUUACCUCCUAACUCCCCUUGUGUUUGGCAGCCAUAUGGAGUCUCAAAGCUUUCAGCCCUGCGCUGCUGAACUGCACAGCCUGCCCUCUCAAACCUCAUGCUGACAAACUGUCCUGUGCACAUUCACGGAGGGAAAAUUCCAGACGUUACUCUGUUUCCUUCAGCAGUUCUAACAAAUUGCAAUGCUAAGGAUGAAAGGUGUCAGGAAGUCUAAGCCUAUCCUGUUACGACUUGGGCUGCAGGGAAGAUGGCAGAAGGCAGCAGAGUUACUCAUCCUUACUGGGCCAGUGUCUCAGCUCCAUCAUCACUGGAAGCUGGCAGUGCUGCAGGAAGAAGUCAUCCACCCACCUCCAGCUCCUCUCCCCUGGCCUGCACUGUCCUCUCCUUGCUGCUGUGGCCAGCAUUCGUGCAGCCACACUGCGCACGGGGAUGACUCACCUUAAAACUAAUUCAGCAAAAAGCAAGGGAUGGUUUUCACUUGGAGCAGUUUUGUGUUAUGACUGCAUGAAGACUACUGCUGGCAGUGCCAGAGUUGGAACGGGGGUCGAGCCCUUUGUAUGGCAGUUGUGCUCCUGGGGAGCUACUUCCUCCGAAACACAGGAGAGAGAGGUGGGUGCAGAAGUAAAGGGUGAGUUUUUAUGAUCGCAGUCUCUAAGUGUAGUAGUGGUCAGCUAGCUUGUCUGUAAAGACAGCCAGUGGGGGCCCAGUUCAGUGUGGAAGCUCCUGGGGACAGACAGACACACAAAAUGCUCUCGUGGAAUGCUAUAUUCACGUAAUAUUUUAGAGUAAAGAAAAGUAAACUG